rnacentral:rRNA from 1 species
AGUGAACGCUGGCGGCAGGCCUAACACAUGCAAGUCGAACGGCAGCACAGUAAGAGCUUGCUCUUACGGGUGGCGAGUGGCGGACGGGUGAGGAAUACAUCGGAAUCUACUUUUUCGUGGGGGAUAACGUAGGGAAACUUACGCUAAUACCGCAUACGACCUACGGGUGAAAGCAGGGGAUCUUCGGACCUUGCGCGAUUGAAUGAGUCGAUGUCGGAUUAGCUAGUUGGCGGGGUAAAGGCCCACCAAGGCGACGAUCCGUAGCUGGUCUGAGAGGAUGGUCAGCCACACUGGAACUGAGACACGGUCCAGACUCCUACGGGAGGCAGCAGUGGGGAAUAUUGGACAAUGGGCGCAAGCCUGAUCCAGCCAUACCGCGUGGGUGAAGAAGGCCUUCGGGUUGUAAAGCCCUUUUGUUGGGAAAGAAAAGCAGCAGGUUAAUACCCCGCUGUUCUGACGGUACCCAAAGAAUAAGCACCGGCUAACUUCGUG